rnacentral:rRNA from 1 species
GAUGAACGCUGACAGAAUGCUUAACACAUGCAAGUCUACUUGAAUUUGUGUUUUUAACUAGAUUUGGGUGGCGGACGGGUGAGUAACGCGUAAAGAACUUGCCUCACAGCUAGGGACAACAUUUAGAAAUGAAUGCUAAUACCUAAUAUUAUGAUAAUAGGGCAUCCUAUAAUUAUGAAAGCUAUAUGCGCUGUGAGAGAGCUAUGCGUCCCAUCAGCUAGUCGGAGAGGUAACAGCUCACCAAGGCGAUGAUGGGUAGCCGGCCUGAGAGGGUGAUCGGCCACAAGGGGACUGAGACACGGCCCUUACUCCUACGGGAGGCAGCAGUGGGGAAUAUUGGACAAUGGACCGAGAGUCUGAUCCAGCAAUUCUGUGUGCACGAUGAAGUUUUUCGGAAUGUAAAGUGCUUUCAGUUGGGAAGAAAGAAAUGACGGUACCAACAGAAGAAGUGACGGCUAAAUACGUGCCAGCAGCCGCGGUAAUACGUAUGUCACGAGCGUUAUCCGGAUUUAUUGGGCGUAAAGCGCGUCUAGGUGGUUAUAUAAGUCUGAUGUGAAAAUGCAGGGCUCAACUCUGUAUUGCGUUGGAAACUGUAUAACUAGAGUACUGGAGAGGUAAGCGGAACUACAAGUGUAGAGGUGAAAUUCGUAGAUAUUUGUAGGAAUGCCGAUGGGGAAGCCAGCUUACUGGACAGAUACUGACGCUGAAGCGCGAAAGCGUGGGUAGCAAACAGG